UGGGGAAUUUUGGACAAUGGGCGAAAGCCUGAUCCAGCAAUGCCGCGUGUGUGAAGAAGGCCUUCGGGUUGUAAAGCACUUUUGUCCGGAAAGAAAUCCUUGGCUCUAAUACAGUCGGGGGAUGACGGUACCGGAAGAAUAAGCACCGGCUAACUACGUGCCAGCAGCCGCGGUAAUACGUAGGGUGCAAGCGUUAAUCGGAAUUACUGGGCGUAAAGCGUGCGCAGGCGGUUUGCUAAGACCGAUGUGAAAUCCCCGGGCUCAACCUGGGAACUGCAUUGGUGACUGGCAGGCUAGAGUAUGGCAGAGGGGGGUAGAAUUCCACGUGUAGCAGUGAAAUGCGUAGAGAUGUGGAGGAAUACCGAUGGCGAAGGCAGCCCCCUGGGCCAAUACUGACGCUCAUGCACGAAAGCGUGGGGAGCAAACAGGAUUAGAUACCCUGGUAGUCCACGCCCUAAAACGAUGGUCAACUAGUUGUUGGGGAUUCAUUUCCUUAGUAACGUAGCUAACGCGUGAAGUUGACCGCCUGGGGAGUACGGUCGCAAGAUUAAAACUCAAAUGAAUUGACGGGGUCAUAGCUG
rnacentral:rRNA from 1 species